rnacentral:lncRNA from 1 species
NUUGGGCAUCUGUGACCAGUAAGAACCUUCCUCCCAGUGGAGCUGUUCCUGUUACUGGAAUACCACCUCACGUAGUUAAAGUACCAGCUUCACAGCCCCGUCCAGAGUCUAAGCCUGAAUCUCAGAUUCCACCACAGAGGCCUCAGAGGGAUCAACGAGUAGGAGAGCAACGAAUAAAUAUUCCUCCUCAGAGGGGACCCAGACCAAUCCGUGAGGCUGGUGAGCAAGGUGAUAUUGAGCCCCGAAGAAUUGUGAGACAUCCUGAUAGUCACCAACUCUUCAUUGGCAACCUGCCUCAUGA